AUGCAAACUAACAAACAUAACACAGCGCACAUCACUCUCCUUCCUAAGUUAGAAGAUGCCUCAAAGCUCAAGGACUUUCGGCCCAUAAGUCUUAUGCACUCUGUCUCCAAAAUUAUCUGCAAGGCUAUGGCUAAUAGGCUCGCACCUCACCUUCAAAAUAUCAUACCCCACUCCCGAAGUGCUUUCAUCAAGUAGCGUAAUAUCCAAGACAACUUCCUGUAUGUCUCUAAUGCUAUUUCUUCGUUUCACAGGAAACACAAGCCCGCCCUGUUUCUUAAGUUG
rnacentral:rRNA from 1 species